UAAGGAAUAUUGGUCAAUGGACGCAAGUCUGAACCAGCCAUGCCGCGUGAAGGAUGAAGGUCCUCUGGAUUGUAUACUUCUUUUAUCUGGGACGAAAACGGGAUUUUUAUCUCAAUUGACGGUACCAGAGGAAUAAGCACCGGCUAACUCCGUGCCAGCAGCCGCGGUAAUACGGAGGGUGCGAGCGUUAUCCGGAUUUACUGGGUUUAAAGGGUGCGUAGGUGGGUUUAUAAGUCAGUGGUGAAAUCUCCGAGCUUAACUUGGAAACUGCCGUUGAUACUAUAGGUCUUGAAUUAUCUGGAGGUCAGCGGAAUAUGUCAUGUAGUGGUGAAAUGCCUAGAUAUGACAUAGAACACCAAUUGCGAAGGCAGCUUACUACAUAUAAAUUGACGCUGAGGCACGAAAGCGUGGGGAUCAAACA
rnacentral:rRNA from 1 species